rnacentral:rRNA from 1 species
GCUUCCCUCUUUCUUCGUGCCUAAUACAUGCAAGUCGAGCGAACAGACGAGGAGCUUGCUCCUUUGACGUUAGCGGCGGACGGGUGAGUAACACGUAGGUAACCUACCUAUAAGACUGGGAUAACUUCGGGAAACCGGAGCUAAUACCGGAUAAUAUUUCGAACCGCAUGGUUCGAUAGUGAAAGAUGGCUUUGCUAUCACUUAUAGAUGGACCUGCGCCGUAUUAGCUAGUUGGUAAGGUAACGGCUUACCAAGGCAACGAUACGUAGCCGACCUGAGAGGGUGAUCGGCCACACUGGAACUGAGACACGGUCCAGACUCCUACGGGAGGCAGCAGUAGGGAAUCUUCCGCAAUGGGCGAAAGCCUGACGGAGCAACGCCGCGUGAGUGAUGAAGGUCUUCGGAUCGUAAAACUCUGUUAUUAGGGAAGAACAAACGUGUAAGUAACUGUGCACGUCUUGACGGUACCUAAUCAGAAAGCCACGGCUAACUACGUG